GAUUCUCCAGACUGAGCUUUUGCUGGCAGAGAAAAAUGUGUCCAGGAUUCACAUCAGGAGAACAUACAGAAGACACAUUCUUGCAGCAUUUUUUUACUGGCAAUUGAUGUUGCUGCCAUAGAAAGAAACACAUAUAUAUGGGGACAAGAUAUAAAACAAGACAAAUGAAGAGAUACAAGUGUUCUCCCUGGAGUUUCAAGAUUCUAAUACAAGCAAAAUCACAGGAAGUUUCACGUCUUGCCUGCAAGGUCCAAACUUUGAUGUUUCACAGUCACAAGAUCCCAUGGGCAGACCCAGUGAAGGACUUAGGGUCCCUAAGGCCCCUCUGGCUACCUUGGAGUCCUGCCACUCACCUGCUCUCCUGGAAUGUAGAAAAAUUGCUUUCCCAUCUUGUGAGACAACAUCAUGUUCUGGCUGUGGUGACUCACAGGGACAGCUUCUGCAGCUUCAAAGAACAUGGGAGAAGGUACGAACCAGCCCACCUUUGUUCUCCCGACUUAAUUCCUACUGUGCAGUGCUUCAUACAACCGCCAGCACUUGGUGUGCUGUUUUUAACAGCAAUCUGCUGCAGGGAUCACACACAUUGUGCAGUCUGCUGGUUAUCAGCAUAGACAGUUCAAUUUAUUCUAGUCUGUGUUUUGUUUUGCAUCCUAGAAGGUUUUAGCACCCUUAGUUAAAGCUUAUGUGCAGUGAGCUCUUGUAGUGCCUCAGGAGCAGACUUCUUUGCUGGUAAAUUCUUGCUGGACAGCCAAGGUGCCUGCAGCAGCUUAGAGAAGAUGUUUAAAGCUGCUUUGAUUGAGAUGCUGAGAUACAUGGGGUUUCAG